GAAAGGCCUCCAUUCCUAUUUCCUACCUCUCUGAGUUAUUUCAUUGAAGCGCACUCAACGUUAUCCAUUGAAGCGUUCUCAGUUGAAUCUAAUUCUUGUAUCCCCCAUUGAAGCAGCUUCUAAGACUCAAAUUUUGUUCUAUUGAUGUUGAAGUUGAUGUAAUCAAUCAGUAAGAUGACAUCUGUAUUGUUUAGAGGGUUGCAAAUUCGUCCUCUGUGUAUUUAUCCAUUUUCUCUGUUGACUAAAAAAGCGGGUGUUUUAUACUGCACAUCUAAUAACUUACAUACCCAAAGUGUAACAACACAAGAUAAACCAAAGUCACAGUCAAAAGUUGUAGCUCGAAACCACAACAAAACACUUGACAAAUUAUUGACAGACUAUGAAGCAAUCAUUGGUAUAGAAACCCAUGUGCAGCUCUCCACUGUUACCAAGGCCUUUUGCGGAUGUGAUUACAAUUAUGGUUCAGAACCGAACACCAAUAUUUGCCCUGUUUGCAUGGGCUUGCCUGGUGCCUUACCGGUUUUGAAUUCCAAAGUGAUUGAGUGUGCAGUGAAACUUGGCCUUGCGCUCAAUUGCAAGCUGUCCUUAAAUUCAAAGUUUGACAGGAAGCAAUAUUUUUAUCCUGAUUUGCCGAAGGGGUACCAGAUCUCUCAGUUCGAUAUUCCCAUAGCGACUAGUGGCUAUAUUGACUUGGAUCUCCCACUUGAGUAUGGUGGUGGACAUAGGAAAUUUGGAAUAACUCGAGUCCAUAUGGAAGAGGAUGCAGGGAAACUACUCCAUACAGACGGUGGAAGUCAUUCUCAGGUUGAUUUAAAUAGGGCUGGAGUACCUUUACUCGAGAUUGUCUCUGAACCUGAUAUGAGAAGUGGUAUAGAAGCUGCAGAAUAUGGUGCAGAAUUGCAGAGAUUAGUUAGGUACUUGGGUGUGAGCAAUGGUAACAUGCAAGAAGGUUCAUUGCGCUGUGAUGUUAAUAUAUCAGUCCGUCCAAGAGGGCAAGCUGAGUUUGGUACAAAGGUUGAAAUAAAAAAUUUGAACUCAUUUUCAGCUAUAAGUAGGGCCAUUGAUUAUGAGAUCACAAGACAAGUGCAACUGCAUAACCAAGGACUAGGUGACCAAAUUGUACAAGAGACUCGUCUUUGGGAGGAUGGUGCUCAGAAAACAGUAACUAUGAGAAAGAAGGAAGGGCUUGCUGAUUACCGGUAUUUCCCAGAGCCAGACCUUCCUGAAGUAACUUUGACAAAGGAAUAUAUUGAGGAUAUUCGUGGUUCUUUGCCAGAAAUUCCUGAGUUGAAGAGACGACGGUAUGAACAAAUGGGAUUAAGCAUGCAGGAUGUGCUUUUUCUCGCCAAUGAUGUACAUGUUGCAGAAUUUUUUGAUGCAACCCUAUCUAAAGGUGCUGACAUGAAGCUAGCUGCUAACUGGAUAAUGGGUGAUGUUGCAGCAUACAUGAAGAAUGAAAAGGUGUCCAUAAAUGAGAUUAAGCUUACUCCUGAUGAGUUGGCUGAAUUGAUUGAUUCUAUCAAAACUGGGACAAUUAGUGGCAAAAUUGGCAAAGAGAUACUAUUUGAGCUUAUAGCCAAAGGAGGAACUGUCAAGGGUCUCAUCAAGGAAAAGAAUUUGGUCCAGAUUACAAAUCCAGCUGAGAUAGAGCAAAUGAUUGAUAAAGUGCUUUCAGAAAAUCCAAAGCAAGUUGAACAAUAUCGUGGAGGCAAAACAAAGCUGCAAGGUUUCUUUGCUGGCCAGCACUUUGGAAUUCAGAAUGGAACAAAUAGAGUUGGGUAAAAGGAGGCGUCCGAUGCAUGAACAGACCGAAGGUAAAUUCGACGUGGAACAAGAAAUUAUUGGACCAAGUGGAAAUGGAAUUGUUCACAACACAAUUGAUUUACAUCCUGGACUAUUUACGGAUAACUCGCUAAGUGUGGGUGGUUAUGUGAAAGCAUGAGGGCAAGUGAUUAAUCAAUAUUCUGUUGCAAUGCGCAGACCCCCUAAUAUGAACUGUCGGGUUGAGUCAUUUGGAAGAAUAUGCCAGAAAUUUGAUGAAAGGAGGACAAGAUGGUGUAUGUGAGAUGAGAUUUGGUGGACUACUACAUUUGGCUUCCCAUAUGCAUCUUCCCCGACAGUUAGUUUACUGGAUAAUGACGCGUAUUGAUCCAAUUAAUAGGUGCUUAAUUGGUACAAAUGAUCAGUCGUUUCAGUUUUCCAAGAACCAAGUGCAUUGGAUUUUAGGAUUCCCCCUUGGGGGAAAAAAAGUUCCUACAAACAAGCAAUUGUUCGGGGAAGUUCGUUUGAAGGUGCAAACAAUAUUAUUAAAGUAUGGAAGAUCAUGGGACACCAAACCAACAAUGUGGUCGGACAUACACUUCAGUUGGCAUUCCUCUUACACUACAGAUGAUGGAUAGAUUGGAGGGACAUUUUGAGGCGCAUGAGGAAGAAGAAUUCAAAACGUUAUUCCUAAUCAUUGCCCUUCAAAUGAUAUUAUGCCCUAGACUGGCAUCUGACUUGUUACCGGCGUUGAGUUGCUCUAUGGAUUGCACAAACUAUGAUUGGUGUCAACUGGUUUUGUCAAAAUUCAUAGAGAGUGUGUCAAGUUUUGCACGACGUUUUUAUGCAAAUGGGUUUGCCGGUGGAUGCGGUGGAUGUGCAAUAUUUGCUGUAAUAUUCUAUCUGGAUCGCCUUGAUUUGGGUCCUAAUGAAUGGGAUAUAUAUCCUCGAGUUAAGGCAUGGAGCAUGGAGUGCAUUGGAUAUGCGGGGAAGCUAGACCGAACUAUAUCUGGUGACUAUGGAAAAAUCGGGGUAAAUAUAGUGAAUUACCAUGUUUUUAAUAUCUCAGUUUUAUCGUCACUUGUCACACCUAUUUUCAUUAUAAUUUUGAAGUUGAUAGAUGUUGCAUAUGGCGAAAGACACCCUAAGGUAGUUAGGGACACAUUUGGACCCCUGGAAUCUCCAAUGUAUAACGAUGUUUCGGAGCUUCCUGUCGGUAGAACUAGAGGUAGGCGAAGACGUCCGGACUUAUUUGCUUUACGAUGGGGUACGAAGCAAGUAUAUGAGGAUACUAUCACCCCCCUAUACAUUGAAGAAUCCACCAGUACUGAUGGUGUGUUGGAAAAUUCAGCAACCAGUUGAUUUAUAAUGAAACACUUUGGUUAACAUGUAGUACUAUUUAUGCACUUUUUAUCAUACAACUUAAUAUUGUACUUUCAUUUCAAUGCAAUCAUUAAGACCUGGUAUUGUGAACUAUGAAAUCGUUGUGUGAGUUUUACA